GACUCUGAAUCUAUUCAGCAUCAGUCAACUUGGGACUUUGAGGGUGCUACUUCUCUUUUGUUUCUUUCUUUCUUUCGAUUUCUUUUGAUUUCUUUUGAUUUUUUUUCUUGGAUUUUGCACCCUCCUCUUUUCUCUUUUUUUUUGUUUUUUUUUUGUUAAUGCCCCAGUUGGCUGUUCUGCUGAUUCUCGAGAUGCAGCUGAGUGAUCUUCUUUUCUUGCUCA
rnacentral:lncRNA from 1 species